CGAAAAGUUGUUUUAUUCACUUCUAAUGCAUUUGUUGGAGGCUUUACAUGAUGGAUACUUUUGGUUUUUGGAUGAUUUUCUUAUUGCUUAUCACAACUCACAAAGUGUGCAACGCCGGGGCACGCCCAUCGAAUUGCCAUCACCAGUGUAAAGGAGGUGAUAGCACAUGUAUACCUAACUCUUCCGGUGUGGGAUUUCACUGCAGCUGUAGCGCAGGGUGGACCGGAACUUACUGUAAACAGAUAG